rnacentral:SRP_RNA from 1 species
CGGGAGGUUGGUGGUGGACGAGCCACUCGCCAACCGGGUCAGGUCCGGAAGGAAGCAGCCCCAACGAGCAAGGCACGGGUCGCCGUGCCAGCCUCCCACCCU